rnacentral:lncRNA from 1 species
AUGGCAUGGUAGAUCAGUCUUUAAAUCCUGGCUGUUCCAUUUAGUAGUUCUACAACCUUGGACAGGAUUGGAACCUCUCUGAUUUUCUCAGUUUCUUCAUCUAUAAAAUAGACACAAUCUUAUGUGUUCUGCCUGCCCCCAAGGGAUUGCUCUGGGGCUCAGAUAACUCAUUCAGCCAUCAUGUAUGGUGAUCACACAGGUUACUGUUCAAACUGGGCCAGUU